rnacentral:rRNA from 1 species
AACGAACGCUGGCGGCGCGCUUAACACAUGCAAGUCGAACGAGAAGGCGUAGCAAUACGCUUGUACAGUGGCGAACGGGUGAGGAAUACAUGGGUAACCUACCCUCGAGUGGGGGAUAACCCGCCGAAAGGCGGGCUAAUACCGCGUACGCUUCCGAUCUUGCGGGAUUGGAAGGAAAGCUGUCCCUUGGGGAUGGCGCUCAAGGAUGGGCUCAUGUCCUAUCAGCUUGUUGGAGGGUAACGGCCUACCAAGGCAUCGACGGGUAGCUGGUCUGAGAGGACGAUCAGCCACACUGGCACUGCGACACGGGCCAGACUCCUACGGGAGGCAGCAGUGAGGAAUAUUGCGCAAUGGGCGAAAGCCUGACGCAGCGACGCCGC